GCAAACCCGGGGAACUGAAACAUCUAAGUACCCGGAGGAGUAGAAAUCAACCGAGAUUCCGAAAGUAGCGGCGAGCGAAAUUGGAUUAGCCCUUAAGCUUUUAGUGCGUCAGGUGAAGAGUCUGGAAAGUCUCGCAAUAAAGGGUGAUAGCCCCGUAACCGACAACGUACAAUCAGUGAAAUCGAGUAGGGCGGGACACGUGAUAUCCUGUCUGAAUAUGGGGGGACCAUCCUCCAAGGCUAAAUACUACUGACUGACCGAUAGUGAACCAGUACCGUGAGGGAAAGGCGAAAAGAACCCCUGUGAGGGGAGUGAAAUAGAACCUGAAACCGUGUACGUACAAGCAGUAGGAGCCUCCUUUGUGGGGUGACUGCGUACCUUUUGUAUAAUGGGUCAGCGACUUAUAUUUAGUAGCAAGGUUAACCGAUUAGGGGAGCCGUAGGGAAACCGAGUCUUAACUGGGCGUCGAGUUGCUAGGUAUAGACCCGAAACCAGGUGAUCUAGCCAUGGGCAGGUUGAAGGUUGAGUAACAUCAACUGGAGGACCGAACCGACUAAUGUUGAAAAAUUAGCGGAUGACUUGUGGCUAGGGGUGAAAGGCCAAUCAAACCUGGAGAUAGCUGGUUCUCCCCGAAAGCUAUUUAGGUAGCGCCUCGGACGAAUACUACUGGGGGUAGAGCACUGUUAAGGCUAGGGGGUCAUCCCGACUUACCAACCCUUUGCAAACUCCGAAUACCAGUAAGUACUAUCCGGGAGACACACGGCGGGUGCUAACGUCCGUCGUGGAGAGGGAAACAACCCAGACCGCCAGCUAAGGUCCCAAAGUAUAGCUAAGUGGGAAACGAUGUGGGAAGGCUCAGACAGCCAGGAUGUUGGCUUAGAAGCAGCCAUCAUUUAAAGAAAGCGUAAUAGCUCACUGGUCGAGUCGGCCUGCGCGGAAGAUGUAACGGGGCUAAGCUAUACACCGAAGCUGCGGCAAUACGGGUUAAUAUUCCCGUACUUCUUACAAUUGCGAUGGGGGGACGGAGAAGGCUAGGUGGGCCUGGCGACGGUUGUCCAGGUUCAAGGGUGUAGGCUGAUUUCUUAGGUAAAUCCGGGAAAUCAUUAAGGCUGAGACCCGAUGUCGAGCGCCCAAGGGCGUGAAGUCAUUGAUGCCAUGCUUCCAGGAAAAGCCUCUAAGCUUCAGAUUGUAAGAAAUCGUACCCCAAACCGACACAGGUGGUCGGGUAGAGAAUACCAAGGCGCUUGAGAGAACUCGGGUGAAGGAACUAGGCAAAAUGGUACCGUAACUUCGGGAGAAGGUACGCUUCUGACGGUGAAGUCCCUCGCGGAUGGAGCUAUCGGAAGUCGCAGAUACCAGGUGGCUGCAACUGUUUAUUAAAAACACAGCACUGUGCAAAAUCGCAAGAUGACGUAUACGGUGUGACGCCUGCCCGGUGCCGGAAGGUUAAUUGAUGGGGUUAGACUUAGGUCGAAGCUCUUGAUCGAAGCCCCGGUAAACGGCGGCCGUAACUAUAACGGUCCUAAGGUAGCGAAAUUCCUUGUCGGGUAAGUUCCGACCUGCACGAAUGGCGUAAUGAUGGCCACGCUGUCUCCACCCGAGACUCAGUGAAAUUGAAAUCGCUGUGAAGAUGCAGUGUACCCGCGGCUAGACGGAAAGACCCCGUGAACCUUUACUACAGCUUGGCACUGAACAUUGACCCUACAUGUGUAGGAUAGGUGGGAGACUUUGAAACUUCGUCGCUAGAUGGAGUGGAGUCAACCUUGAAAUACCACCCUUGUAGUGUUGAUGUUCUAACUUAGUCCCCUAAUCGGGGAUGAGGACAGUGCCUGGUGGGUAGUUUGACUGGGGCGGUCUCCUCCCAAAGAGUAACGGAGGAGCACGAAGGUGGGCUAAACACGGUUGGACAUCGUGUGGUUAGUGCAAUGGCAUAAGCCCGCUUGACUGCGAGAAUGACAAUUCGAGCAGGUGCGAAAGCAGGUCAUAGUGAUCCGGUGGUUCUGAAUGGAAGGGCCAUCGCUCAACGGAUAAAAGGUACUCCGGGGAUAACAGGCUGAUACCGCCCAAGAGUUCAUAUCGACGGCGGUGUUUGGCACCUCGAUGUCGGCUCAUCACAUCCUGGGGCUGAAGUCGGUCCCAAGGGUAUGGCUGUUCGCCAUUUAAAGUGGUACGCGAGCUGGGUUUAGAACGUCGUGAGACAGUUCGGUCCCUAUCUGCCGUGGGCGUUGGAGAAUUGAAAGGGGCUGCUCCUAGUACGAGAGGACCGGAGUGGACGAACCUCUGGUGUUCGGGUUGUCAUGCCAAUGGCAUUGCCCGGUAGCUAAGUUCGGAAUCGAUAAGCGCUGAAAGCAUCUAAGCGCGAAGCGAGCCUUGAGAUGAGUUCUCCCUGAUACUUUAAGUAUCCUAAAGGGUUGUCGUAGACUACGACGUUGAUAGGCAGGGUGUGUAAGCGUUGUGAGGCGUUGAGCUAACCUGUACUAAUUGCCCGUGAGGCUUAACCAUACAACACCCAAGGGGUUU
rnacentral:rRNA from 1 species